GUGCUCUUUUUGGUGGCACAUAUACUAAAAUUGGAACAAUACAGAGAAGCUUCAAAUGGCCCCUGUGCAAAGAUGAUAUGCAAAUUUGUGAAGUGUUUCUUAUUCUG